rnacentral:tRNA from 1 species
CUGUAUAUGGUGUAGAGCACAUAAGUUUUUGGGGCUUAGGGCAGGUUGAUUCCUUUUUACAGG